rnacentral:rRNA from 1 species
UUGGAGGGCAAGUCUGGUGCCAGCAGCCGCGGUAAUUCCAGCUCCAAUAGCGUAUAUUAAAGUUGUUGCAGUUAAAAAGCUCGUAGUUGAAUUUCGGGAUCAAUACGUCGGUCGUGCUUUCGGGUACGUACUGGCGUCAUUGGUUUCUCCUUUCUGACGAACCAUGAUGUCAUUAAUUUGGUGUUAUGGGGAGUUAGGACUGUUACUUUGAAAAAAUUAGAGUGUUUAAAGCAGGCAUUAGCUUGAAUACAUUAGCAUGGAAUAAUGAAAUAGGACGUUCAUCCUAUUUUGUUGGUUUCUAGGAUCAACGUAAUGAUUAAUAGGGAUAGUUGGGGGCAUUAGUAUUCAAUUGUCAGAGGUGAAAUUCUUGGAUUUAUUGAAGACUAACUACUGCGAAAGCAUUUGCCAAGGAUGUUUUCAUUAAUCAAGAACGAAAGUUAGGGGAUCGAAGACGAUCAGAUACCGUCGUAGUCUUAACCAUAAACUAUGCCGACUAGGGAUCGGAUGAUGUUAAUUUUUUAAUGACUCAUUCGGCGCCUUACGGGAAAC